CGAACCCUAAUUUCCCAAAUACAGAAAACCUAACCCAGUUACCCCUCACCCCAGCGCCGUUUCCCCCUUUCACUCACUCAGCUUCAUCCCUCAACCCUAGCAUUUUCUCCCAAAGGUACAGAGAAGAGAGAAAGAAACGAGAUUCGGAGAGUGAGAGAGAGCCCGUGUCCGAAAGUGAAGAGGAGAUAUAGCUCGCGUUGCUGCCUCCAUCACGACCGAACCGUCGCUCCUUGCUGCGCCGUCACCAUCGUUCCAUGGAGCUGCCGCCGUCAGCGUUCCCCAACCUUGCCCGGACUGCAGCGCCUCCCGUCGGCCGUUCGUGGAGCUGCGAAGAGUAUCACCGUCGAAGUCACACCAUCGCAGAAGGAACGAGGGGAAGGAGACGAGCCCGAACCAGGAGCGGGAGGAAGAAGGCGUCGCUAUGGCUCCCGUUGCUGUCGCCGUUCGUGCUCCGUCAUCGCUGCCGUUCCAUGGAGACGCGUCGCUAUCGCUGAAUGAUGGAGGAAGAGGACGCACGAGAGGAGCCGGUGCUGCUGGGUUGCUGUUCUGCCACCGUCGCUGUCACGUGAUGGAGGAGGAAGGCUCGCUAGUUCUGCCUCUGCUUCUUGUUCCUAAAAUCUGACAAGAACGUCACUGCCCUGCUGGAGUUGCUGUUGAACCGUUAGAACCACUACUAUUUUGCUGCCACCGAGGUCGUUGGUGCUUGUCAAGAGUACUAUUCUGGUUCUGAAUUGAUUAGUUCAUGCCACUGCUGCUGCUGAGAAAUGAUCAGAAAUGCCGCUGCUGUUAGUUCGGUUCAAGGUUGUUGUUGCCACUGCGAAUUAAAAAUAAAAAAAGGCUUUGUUGCGUUUGAUUAUCGAAUUUCGGCUAGUCGAGUGACAGGUUCGAAGACUCAGUUUGAAGGUACGGGCGAUUAUAGAAUUUAUUUACGAGAUAAGUUUUUGAGUUAGGUUAUUUUCAUAGAAUUCCCUCGCC